AUUGAACGCUGGCGGCAUGCUUUACACAUGCAAGUCGAACGGUAACAGGCCUUCUGGUGCUGACGAGUGGCGAACGGGUGAGUAAUGCAUCGGAACGUGCCCAGAGGUGGGGGAUAACGCAGCGAAAGCUGUGCUAAUACCGCAUGUGAUCUGAGGAUGAAAGCGGGGGACCAGGCAGCAAUGUUUGGCCUCGCGCCUUUGGAGCGGCCGAUGUCAGAUUAGUUAGUUGGUGGGGUAAAGGCCUACCAAGCCGACGAUCUGUAGCUGGUCUGAGAGGACGACCAGCCACACUGGGACUGAGACACGGCCCAGACUCCUACGGGAGGCAGCAGUGGGGAAUUUUGGACAAUGGGCGCAAGCCUGAUCCAGCAAUGCCGCGUGCGGGAAGAAGGCCUUCGGGUUGUAAACCGCUUUUGUACGGAACGAAAAGGCUCUGGCUAAUACCUGGGGCUGAUGACGGUACCGUAAGAAUAAGCACCGGCUAACUACGUG
rnacentral:rRNA from 1 species